GACGUAGGGCGCGAGCGUUGUCCGGAUUUAUUGGGCGUGAAAGAGCUCGUAGGCGGCUUGUCGCGUCGUCCGUGAAAACCUGGGGCUCAACCCCAGGCUUGCGGUCGAUACGGGCAGGCUAGAGUUCGGUAGGGGAGACUGGAAUUCCUGGUGUAGCGGUGAAAUGCGCAGAUAUCAGGAGGAACACCGGUGGCGAAGGCGGGUCUCUGGGCCGAUACUGACGCUGAGGAGCGAAAGCGUGGGGAGCGAACAGG
rnacentral:rRNA from 1 species